UCGAGAAUCUUUAGCAAUGGACGAAAGUCUGACUAUGCGACGCCGCGUGAGGGAUGAAGGAUUUCGGUUCGUAAACCUCUUUCGAAGGGAAAGAAAAACCCGCCAUAAAUAGUGGCGGACUUGACGGUACCCUGAGAAGAAGCCACGGCCAACUCCGUGCCAGCAGCCGCGGUAAUACGGAGGUGGCAAGCGUUACUCGGAUUCAUUGGGUGUAAAGGGCAGGUAGGCGGCAUGAUAAGUGGAUGGUGAAAUUCCGUUGCUCAACAGCGGAACUGCCUUCCAAACUAUCGGGCUUGAGAUUGGGAGAGGAGAAUGGAAUUCCCGGUGUAAGGGUGAAAUCUGUAGAUAUCGGGAAGAACACCAGUGGCGAAAGCGAUUCUCUAGUCCAAAUCUGACGCUGAGCUGCGAAAGCUAGGGGAGCAAACAGG
rnacentral:rRNA from 1 species